GUAGGGGGCAAGCGUUGUCCGGAUUUAUUGGGCGUAAAGAGCUCGUAGGCGGCUUAGCAAGUCGGUCGUGAAAUACCGAGGCUCAACCUCGGAACGCCGGUCGAAACUGCUAUGGCUAGGGUCCGGUAGAGGAGAGUGGAAUUCCCGGUGUAGCGGUGAAAUGCGCAGAUAUCGGGAGGAACACCAGUAGCGAAGGCGGCUCUCUGGGCCGGUACCGACGCUGAGGAGCGAAAGCGUGGGGAGCAAACAGGAUUAGAUACACUGGUAGUCCACGCCGUAAACGAUGGGCACUAGGUGUGGCAAGUUCAUCAACGCUUGCCCGUGCCGUAGCUAACGCAUUAAGUGCCCCCGCCUGGGGAGUACGGUCGCAAGGCUA
rnacentral:rRNA from 1 species